CUCUCAUUUCUUCGAAUCGCGAUGACUUUGUACGGCCAAACCUCCGACCGUAUCUCCAGAUCUAGAAGGGAAACUUGUUUCCGUGGGAGAAGACGACAUAUAAGAAGCAGAAGCUGAGAGGUGAAGCGGAGGAAGACGGCAUAGAAGACGAAAAAGCUAAGCCGUGGAUUUAUCGACGAAAUUAGAA